CUCUUCUUCUUCUUCCUUCCUGCGACCUGCUCCCACAGAAUAACAAAAAAAACUUCUUUUUUCUUCUGAAAUUCGGCGAUCCUCAAGCAAAAUCGAAACCCUAGACCUUCGAUUUUGAAACCCUAGAUGCGAUUUCCAGCAAGGAUGGUCUCUAAUUUGGAACCCUAGCCGGCGGCGGAGGUGCUAGCGACGAGAGGAUGAAGAGCAGCGGCGGCGGCUACUGGGUUUCUGAAACCCUAGUCGUGAUUUGCAGUUUCUGUACAGGGUCACCAUUGGAUUCUAGACCCACAACACCCUUGCCAGAUAGAAAUUUGUUGGUGUUCAUUCUUGAUAGGCUUCAAAAGAAGGACACUCAUGCCAUUUUCUCUAAACCUGUCAAUCCGAAUGAGGUUUUUGCAAUUCUGUUGGACGAUCCACAACAAAUAUUAAUGGUCAAUGUUGCAGUUGCUUGACGAGUAAUCGGCUAUGAAACUGAGGGACUGAAAUGAAAAAUCACCUUCUUCAAAGAGAUGUAUGAAAAGGGAAUAAUGAAGGAAACAGGGUGCAAUUGGAUUGAUAAUGAUGGGUGUUCAGAUUAUUUUAUGUCGAGAGACGAAAAUUACGCUCAUGAGGAUGACAUGAAGAAGCAAUGGUGAAGGAAACAAACUCAGAAAAAGUACUCUUGCUCAAAAAGAAGCCCAAGCAAGCAAUUGAAAGUACUCUUGCUCAAAAGAAGCCCAAGGUUUUAUUUGUCCUAGGAGGCCCAGGCAGUGGAAAGGGUACACAAUGUGCAAACAUUGUCGAGCAUUUUGGAUAUACUCAUCUUAGUGCAGGAGAUCUUCUUCGUGCAGACAUAAAAUCCAGCUCUGAAAAUGGGACCAUGAUGGUGAAGUGAGCACAUUGACUAAUGUGGAUGAAUUUGACCCAUGGACAGCUUGGGCUUACAAGCCCCGUACGAUUACAUUAUUAUUCAUUGGUGCAUGCUUUCUUAUUUGGGCGAGUGGAGCGCUUGAUCCUGAAGGUAGUUCAUCAGCUGAUAUUGUAACAUCAGUCAAAAGGGGAAUAUGGGCAAUGAUUGCUUAGGGCCGGCUCUAAGUGUGCUAUCUUAAAUAGCGGACUUCAAAAAGGCAUCUAGGAAGAGUUGAAGGCCGCUGAUGCGGCAAGCGGACUUGGUAAAGUAUGCUAACCCAAUAAGCAGACGUGGCAAGUCUAGAAACGCAUGGGUUUCUAGGUCAAAAGUUUGAAUAUGCUAAGGAAGGAGGAUUUGAUCUGGAUAUGGCAUACAUCACUGAGAAUAUAAUUGCAAUGGGAUUCCCUGUAGGCGUCUUUGGAUACGUUGAGUUUAGACUUUUGAUAAUUUUUUAAGGGAUUUUACCGUAACCACAUGGAGGAAGUAAUCAAGUUCUUUGAAGCUAAGCACAAGGGCGCUAUUGGAGGUGAGGACCGUGAGGUGGUACGGUGGCGCCCUUCAUACCCUCCGGCAUAAGACAUUCGUCUUGUAUAUUUCUAUUCUAAUGGUAACACAUUUGACCCUUGUUUUUGUGUCGAUAGUUAGAUACCUCCAAGGAAGACUGCAACUUCCUACAGGUUUUUAUUAGAAUCUCUAAAGUCUGAACUUAUUAUUGAAGAUGUACAGUUGACUUGUCAAACUUUUAACUUGGAAUAUUAAUAAGGGUGUGGGGGGCACCUGCGGGGACUCCCUUCCGGGACCCUAUUCACCGUGCGGGAGAAGUGCCGCCAACCAAGAGGGGACUGAAAUCGGUGACCAUUUUCGGGGAGGAGGCACCGAAGAGAGGGGAGGAGAGAGAAGGUGGCCCCCAUUCAAUCAACCAAUGAAAUUUUUUUUUUUUUUAAUAAAAAACAAGCCACCUAAGAGGGGAGUGCCGCCAUCAAAUUGAGGUGUGAGGGGAAUUUAAGAGGGGAGUUGACGUGGCACAAGAGGAUUGGUUGGGCGUAAGAGAGGGGACUCACCUCUUAGGUGAGUGCCCCUUACACCCUAAUGUCUCCUACUUCAUAUAAAGAUGGUUCGUUUUUGAUGUUAACUCUAAGAAAUUUAAUGAAACAAAUGUCCAGAUCGAGGGUAUGAACUUCAAUUACUUCUUACCCAUGGCUUCGGUGAGUGGUUGGUUGAGCCAUGGGGAAAUUUACAUCGAGACUCAUAUGUUGCUAAAAAUUUAGUUCUAGCAAGCCAUUAUGUUAUUUUUCUUAUUAAAACUAGUGGGAAACCCGCGCGUUGCGGCGGAAACGACAACAUGGGGCAGGAACACAAUUCAAAACAUAAAUCGAUAAAAAAAACAUAUUUAAGUUGUGUGUGUAUAUAAAAGCACCCACACUUAACGGCGUGGUAAGUUUAAAUGAUAUCAUGCCAUGUUCUAUAUACAUUUUGGCACAACAAAAUAUUUAGAGAGGUCUUUAGUUUACACUUCACGUAAACGUAAGAAGCGACAAUUGUAAUAGAAAACAAAAAGACGCAUUCUCCCUUAAUUUAGAAGGCUUCGUCAACAAACUUAACAGCAAAACAGAUUAUAUGAACCUUUUUAAAUCAUAUACCUUUAGAUUGAUAUGAGUUCAAAGUUGUUACUCAUUUGCUGCAUUUUCUUCAUCCUUUGAAGUACCAUCAUUAGCAUUUUCUUCACUUUUAUCCAAUGGAACUGAUGAUAAUCUUCAAUAUUCUUCUUAACCGGUUCUGAUACCCCAUCCUCAUGUUCUUUUUUUAGUUCAGUUUCUUCAAUUAUAUCUACAUUUUCUGUGUUGAUACCCUUUGAAGACACUGCAACAGUCUCUUUCAAGACAUUGCAACCGCAUUUGCAAAUCAUCAAACUCCCUUUCCAUCAAAAACAAUCUAUCUUUCAAGAUCAAGUUAUCUUCCUCAAGUUGCGCGAUAUGGAUCAUCCACUCGGUUUUCCAACAAAUAGCUGCUAUGAUCUGCACCGCUAUAGUUCGGAUAAACCGACUCAAAUCAUGAUCCAACCUCCUCUCAACCUCAACAUGUUCUUCCACAUCACUCUCACUCGACCCACCUUCAUCUUCUUCAUCCUCAGCAGCAUCCGCUUCAUUUCCCGGAGACCGAAGCCUAAUAAACCCUUUCAUCGAACCAUAUCCGUCUACCCCCACUCUUCUUUCGCCAUAUCCACUAACACCUCUCGAGAAGGCGAAAAUAUUGGUGUGGGUAAAACUGCACAGUGACACUCACGAAGUAAUCCCACUGGAUUUCUUCGCUCAAAUUGAAAAUGACGACAUGCAAUGUAGAAUAUCCCUAAUCAGAUAAUCAGUUGUAACAAAACAGGCUGUAAACGAUAGUGUAUGUAUGCGGUUUUGUUGUAUGAAAUUAUAAUUAUAUAGAUAAUACCUGCAUAGGGGCCCUGAGAUGUCACUUAAAAAGGCUUUUAGCUCUUUACUCACCCCAUUAAUGGAUAAAAUGUGAUUAUGUUUCCUAAGAGUAACCUGUGAGAUACCAUCAAUGUCAAAAAGAGUAAUGUUUAAAUUCAUAGAGUUUGUUUCAGUUAUUUCAAUUGAAAAGGUAAAGGCGAAUAAAUUUGAUAUCUUAAAAUGGUAAAUGCAAAAUUUAUUAAUUUCAAAUCUUGCGCUAAUUCCAAUUUCAUUGCAUUACAUGAAACGAAUGCUUUAACAAUUCAAAACCAAAUUAUUAAAUUAUAACACCAAAACUUAUCCAAAAUUUUGUGCAGAUUGAAUUUGUAUGAAUCAUUUAGAUAUAGAACUAUUUUUAAAAUUUUGAAUUUAUAAUUAGUUAUUUGCCAUCAAAGAAGUGUAGCUUUCAAGCUAACAAAGGCUUCACUUACCAUCAAAGAAGUGCAGCUUUCAUGCUAACUCACAUAUCAAAAGAUAAGGUACACAAAGUUUUAUUAGGUUCCAACAAAGGCUUCAUAGCUGAGAAGGUAUAAAGUGCAGCUUUUGAGUAUUAAAUAUAUUUAUUAUAUAUUUUUUUUAAUCUAAAUAGCAUCUAUCUUAUAUCUAUAUAAAAUUUUCUUUCAAAAUAAAAUCAAAUAAAUUUUGCAUUAGUACAAGCAAUAGAAAUAACAUGAGUUUUUUCGUGUUCGUUCGUUAAUUCUUUAAACUAACACACAAACAUAAGUGAACGAGCACAAACGAACGUAAAUAUUUAUUAGUUUGAAAAUGAAAAAUAUGGAUGUUAUUAAGCAUGGGCAUAGCAUAGCGGGGGCCAGGGGGACCUCCCGAACUUUUCGCUCAGUAGUGUCCAACAUGUAGUUUUCGUAUAGAAAUUUUUAGGUAUAUACGUUUUCGACCUCCGGUAUAUACGUAUAACUUUGACUUAUUAAGUCAAAAAGACUUUUCUUGAUUCAGAAUUAGAAAUAGCAUUCAAAUUCAUAUCUUUUUUAUUUGGUAUAUUCAUGGUUACUCUCUUUUUUGUUUGAAAGUUUUUUUUGCUUCCUCACUCAAAUUAUUAUGAAACUCAAAAUCUUUGACUUUUUUUUGGUCAACUGAUUUUUUUUCUGGCCUAUCAAGCCAGCUGAUUUUUAACCUUCUUUUGCUUGAUCACAUUGCCUUCCACCAUAGCAAGCCUGAUGGUUCUUAUCCGUGCUUGUAUCCUGCUCCAUGAUUGAAGAUAUCUUAACAUAUUCGAGGUAUGCGUUUUGAAUUGCCAUAGAAUUUUCUUGCCUAGAAAAACUCACACGUCAGUGUAAGCAUCCAAACAUGUUAAAAAAGAAAAAAAGUGACUUUUGAAAUGAUAUUGACCAGCUUUCCAUGAAGGGUAAUCUAGACUUUUAGUAACACCUCUAUUUAACUAAGCGAAAAGUCAAACACUAAAAUGCUACCAAUUUGUGAAACAUGUAAAUAUUUUGAAAGCAUAAUUUCUUUGUAUUUUAAAAUAUCGCUACAGGUUUCCACCCCCGUAAGGGUCCGCCCUCACGGGACCUGGCACCAUCGGUCCGGCCCUGGCUAUGAUUUAAGCUCUAAAGACAGAUCUAAUGAAGGGAAGACCCUAAACAUUAUAUCAUAAUCUAAUCUUCGUGGCGAAUUGUAAAUAAGCUCACUUUCUUUCUGUUCUUGUUGAGUGCUUUGCUUUCCGACCCGAGUUUUUGUUAUUUCUCAGAGCGGAAUUCAUAAUUCUUUUGCACUAUAAAACUUUUAACACAUUACAAUAAUAGGUACCAGAAUAGAUCUGCAAAUAUUGUAAAGUGGAAAGAACCUUAUUCCAAUGUUUUUCUAACCAAAAUUACAUGAUAUCUAGUGCAGCAUAAAAUGAAUUGUAUAGGGGGCAAACAGAUUUGAUCCUUUUUUUUCUUUUUAAAACGAUUCUUUCAACAUACAUAUAAGCGUCCUUGUAACUGUUGAGAAGAGCACAACCGAAAGGUAUCAUGCAUUUAACAACAUAUAUCGCCUGAUAACUGAUUAUACAUAACUAACUUGGAAAAGGGUGCUUAGAUUCUCUAUUUAAAUUGAUAAACUACUAUAACGUUUGCUCUAUCUGCAAAAUUCUUCCAAUAAAAAAUAAAUCCUUUUUCGGGAAUUGCUAAACUCAUUACGAUCAUUUAACAUCCAUUAUUUGAAUGGUGAAGUAUCUAUUCAUAGGAUGUAGAUAUAUAAAAAAUAUCAUACAACUUUUUCAGAUAAACUCAUAUUUUAGUAAAUUUUGGUGGAUAUAACUUCAUUUAACAUAUGAUAUAUUACCUGAAUACUUUACUCAGGAUAUAAGCAAUCUCAUCCGAAAAAUACUCGGAUAAGCCUAGCCUCUGCAGUUGGUCAACAAUGCUGAGUUCAACCAGUACUUUAUCCUAUCCAUCGGGUGCUUUUGGGAAACGGGUAAUCAAUCGGUAAUGUUUCUAAGCAAGCCAACAAUGGAAGGUUCUACCAUUUAUAAAAAUUUCUUCCCAGUAGCAAAAUUUCUAUUAUACACCAUCUCUACAUGUAUAUGAAUUAAUAAAUUGCUAGUUGCAAAGUAAAACCACAUUGAAAGAGUAACCACGUACGUGUAGUGAGAACAUGGUAAUUAACAUGAAAUCAGUAUAAUGUAUUUGAAAUUGCCUUAACAGUCUGAUUAGAAGUAGAUGGUGGACUUACCCUUCAAAAUGGUUGCUUCCUAUUUCCUUCAACAACAAGGGAAAAACAGGUUUUAUACUUACUGCUCCAGCAACAAACUAAGUUAAGAGGUCAAUUGUUGGACAAUAAUCAAUCUGAAAAAAGAAAUCUACAAAGAUAACAUAUGGUUUGAACCUUCGUUUACCUAAGCCUUCCAAAAUGGAGGCUUCCUAAUUUCUUCAACAACAAUUUGAGGUGAAAUCGAAAAUACAAAACAACAUCGUGUCCAGUUUUGUGCAUACCUACGGAACAGGUACGAUACGAUACUGUGCAAUCAUGGUAUUCUCUGUCUUCACUGCGUGAUCGUCUUCAAUUACUCAAUGACCUGUUUCACCAUUUUCAGUUUUUAAACCACAUGAAUUAGUUUGCAAUUAGGAUUAGGAGGCAAAAUCUAUCCACACCCGAAUUAGGUUAAAAGAAACAACAGAAAUUAGGGAACCUAAAUACACUACUGUUGGCAGAAGAAGAGCUUGACCGGGAUUCCAUCUGAAUCACCACUGCUUGAAGGGUUGUAUGGGUCUUAUAUACCCUAAUACAAAGAAAGAGAGAAAUAGAAACUCUAGGGAGAAACGGAAGGGCGAUUGGGUUUCUUCCAAUUAAAUGUGAAGAUCAUCCUUGCCUUAUCAAUUUCUACGUUCAGGAACCACAAUGAGAAACACCAUUGAAUCGAGGGCAAAAUUGGGAGGCAGGGAUCAAAAAUUAGGGAUAAAGCCAUGACUCUUGGUCUGUCAUCUUAAGUGUUAAUUUACUAUUUUGUACAUGGGAAAUGUAUUAUAUAGUUAUAUAUAUAUAUAUUAUAUGGGAGCCGCUAGAAUAGAAACCACCCCCAGUUGUAAGAACCGCGAGAACCACUUUCAACCAAUCAAAUUAUGCCAACAUAAAGGUUAUUUUGGUCAUUUACACCAAAUAUCAAAUCUCUUCUCUCUCUCCAUUUAUUGCCAUCAGAGAAUUCAAAUUCUCUUACUUUUCUCUCUCUUCAAAAUAUAACCCUUCACCUUCACAUUGACUCUUCUCUGUUUUCCAUUUCAUUAAUUUAGAGAAACUUCAGACCUCAAACCCUAACCCCAAACAAACCAGCCGCACCUUCCUUCUCUCUCGCAACUCCGGUCGACGGAGCAACUCCGAUCGGCUGCUAGCGGCAAUUUAAGUCCGGCAACCCCUUUUUCUUCUCUCCCCUUCUCGUUUUCAGUCCGGCAACACACAAGAAGGAGCCGACGUUGGUUUCUGGCUCGGCUGUUGAUGAUGAUGACGACGAUUUUGAUGGUGAUGGUGGUUCCGGUGACGACUCCAGCAGCCAAGGUAACUGGGUGAAUCUUUCACACCCUCUUUUCUUCUCUUUUUUUUAUCCGGCUCGAUCGACGAAUUUUCCGACACAUUUUGUAUUUAUAUGAAUUAUGGUUUGUGUUGUAGAAUUGUUGUUGGAUCUAUGAAUUAGUGGUCUGCUUACACGCUAUCUUACUUAAGUAUGUGGUGGAAUCUGAUACAAAAUUAGGAUUAAAAACAUUGGCCUUGUAUAAUUAAUUGGUUAGGAGAUUGACAGUGAAAGGAAAAAGUGACUUUGAAAGGGAUAGAGAGAGACAGUUAUAUCUUUACAUACAAAGUAUUGGUUUAAGCUAUUAGGGGUGUUCAUAAACCACCAAAACCGAUUGGACCGGCCAAACAGAAGAAAGUCAACUGCUUUUGCCUGUUUGAAGUAUGCGCAUUUCGGUUUAGCGGUUGGACGGUUUGGGACUCGAAACAAGCCGUUUAACAUUUAUUUUUUAAUUUUAGAAAUAUAAAGUUAUGUGUGGGUGCAUAUGUGUAUACACAUAUAUUCUAUACUCUUGAACGAUCCUUUUUAAAUAAAAAAAUAUGUUCUAAGAUUUUUUUUCUAAAACCAAAAUAGAACCGUAUCGUGAAAACCGGCUGGUUCUGUUGAGCCAACCAACCUUGCCAAUUCGGUUUGUGUUUUUCCAAAACCAUAGUUAACGGUUCAGCCAAAAGUUUUCGUCAAAACAGGCUAAGCCGGACCGUGAAUAUCCCUUAAGCUAUAGUUAUUGACUUAUUUCUAUUACAGAGGAAGUAUGCAUGGAUUUAUGGGCAUUGUUAAUUUUUUUUCAAAAGGUGUAAAUGGUUGCUAGUCAAUUUUGUUUUGUGAUUUCUGUUGAUAUGAUCUCCCACAUUGUGACAUAAAUCUGCUAUGUUUUUGGGUUAGUGAUUUUAAUUAAGGUGAGUUGUCGUUGGUUGACGCUAGCGACACGGUUUCUACUUAUCCAUAUACAAGAUGCCUGAUUAUUUAUUCUUCACUAAGAGCUUCCCUCUCUUUUUUGACUGAUGUGCUAGUUUUCUACUUCAAUACUGAGAUCAAUCUUGGCUUGAAUGAAUUUUGGAGUUGAAAUGAGCAGGUUUAAAGUGAUCUAAUUAUGACGACGAGAUUGAUGAUGAUGCGAGGAUGGUGUCGACGGCAAAAAACUGCCCCAGCCGGCGGUGGUGGGGCCGGCCGGCGGCGGCAGUAGCUGUGGUGGUGUUACUGUUCAAGUUUUGGCUUCGAGUCUCGGUUCAAGAUGCGGGUUCGAGUCAAGAAUGCAAACUCGCUUCAGAUUCAGUUUCGGUUCAGAUUUGGUUCGGGUUUCGCGGCACGGUCGGUCCAGGUCAACUCAGUUCAAUCAACGAAAUUAAACACGAGACUUGGUAAACUCGGUCAACGAAAUUAAACACUAGACUCGGUUAUGCAUUGUGGAUUUGCUUGUUGUCAGCAAACUAGCUUUUUGAAAUUUGAAAGGGUUUAUAUUUGCUUUAGAAUUGAUCCUGGAUGCCCAACCAUUUGUGUUUUUGAUAUUGCGGGUUUGAGAAUUGAUCCUGUC